rnacentral:rRNA from 1 species
GAUGAACGCUGGCGGCGUGCCUAAUACAUGCAAGUCGAGCGAGCGGCGGACGGGUGAGUAACACGUGAUAACCUACCUAUACGAAUGGGAUAACUUCGGGAAACCGGAGGUAAUACCGGAUAGCAAGAGGUGGAUCCGGGCUGCAUUAGCUAGUUGUUAGGGUAACGGCUUACCAAGGCAACGAUGCAUAGCCGACCUGAGAGGAUGACCAGCAACACUGGAACUGAGACACGGUCCAGACUCCUACGGGAGGCAGCAGUGGGGAAUAUUGCACAAUGGGCGCAAGCCUGAUGCAGCCAUGCCGCGUGUAUGAAGAAGGCCUUCGGGUUGUAAAGUACUUUCAGCGGGGAGGCGUUACUCGCAGAAGAAGCACCGGCUAACUCCGUGCCAGCAGCCGCGGUAAUAC